rnacentral:lncRNA from 1 species
CCUUGACCUCACAGAGGUCCUCCUGCCUCUGCCUCCCAAGUGCUGAGAUUAAAGGUGUGUGCCACCACCGCCCAGUCAGAGUGUUUCUUGUGAUGGCUCCUUGGUGCUCUUACUACGUAAACUAUUUUUGUACUUACUUGAAACUGGGUUGAGUCCUGGCUUGGACUGUGUGAGUGCUGCUGAAGGAGUGGUGAUCCUCUGGUCUCUUAGUCUGGAAAUUGCAUAGGAACAAAUGCACAGAAUGCUCCCCCUCAUUCAUGUGUAUUUGACAGAUUUCACAUGUAAUUAAUACUUUGCAAAUUGUAGAUGAGAGUGACCUCCAUAAAACUUCAUUACUUAGAACUUUACUAAUUUUAAUAACUGAACAGUGUGUACUGGCACCCACCUUUAAUCCUAGCACUCGGGAGGCUGAGCCAGGUAGGUGGAUCUCUGAGAGUUCAAGGCUAGCCCGGUCUACAUAGUUUCGGGACAGACAGAACUACAUAGUUAGACCCAGUAAGCUAUACAACAUAAUACUGAUCUUGCUUCCUCUUGAGUUAUGCUUAAUUGGAAAACAGAAUUGAUUCUUGAAGCACAUGUGUGCAGAGGCUGGAGAUAGCUCAGGGAUACGAGCACCCCCUGCUCUGGCAGCCACAUGGCAACUUACAACCAUCUGUAACUACAGAUCCAGGGAAGCCGAUGCCACCUUCUUGCCUAUUUACGUGGUACACAACAUGGAGGCAAAACUCAUAUAGAAGAAGAAUGUAUGCUGCUACUGACAAGCAGGGUUAUCAGAUUUGAACAAUGAUUCUACGUAUGAGUCUGAGUGGAAAUGAAGCUCUUUCAAAACUUAGUAACUUCAAUCAAUAUUGCUUCCACCUUCAGACAUACUAUUGGAUGGACUUAGUGACUUGCUAAUCAAUGGAAUGUGGCAGAAGUGAUGCUUGGUGUUUCUGAGAAUGAACCAGAAAAGUCCUUUUUUGGUUUCUCUCUGCUCUGCUUAUGCUUGCCUCCUGGAGUCUGAAUCGCUGGGCAGCACAUCGGAGAAUGGAGAAGGUCAUACUCCAGGGAAGCCCUGGAUAACUACACGGAGAGGAGCAUGUGAACAUCUGCCCCCAUGCAGGGGACGGGCU